UACCUACGGGGGGCAGCAGUGGGGAAUCUUGCGCAAUGGGCGAAAGCCUGACGCAGCCAUGCCGCGUGAAUGAUGAAGGUCUUAGGAUUGUAAAGUUCUUUAGCCUGUGACGAUGAUGACGGUAACAGGAGAAUAAGCCCCGGCUAACUUCGUGCCAGCAGCCGCGGUAAUACGAAGGGGGCUAGCGUUGUUCGGAAUUACUGGGCGUAAAGCGCGCGUAGGCGGUUUUACAAGCCAGAGGUGAAAUGCCCGAGCUUAACUUGGGAAUUGCCUUUGGAACUGUAUGGCUUUGAGGACGAGAGAGGUGAGUGGAAUUCCCAGUGUAGAGGUGAAAUUCGUAGAUAUUGGGAAGAACACCGGUGGCGAAGGCGGCUCACUGGCUCGUUUCUGACGCUGUAGCGCGAAAGCGUGGGGAUCAAACAGGAUUAGAUACCCCAGUAGUCACU
rnacentral:rRNA from 1 species